CACCUCAGACCCUAGUGCUGUCUUUACAACUAGGGGAAGAGUAUCAGAUUUACCAGAGUAAAAUGGAACCUCCUGAGGGAAUACAGGACUGGCUUACUCAAAUUCCUCAAGCCUGGGCUGAAAUGGGGGAAUGGGAAUGGCAAGACAAGCUCCCCUGGUGGUGAUCGAGCUUAAGUCUGGGGCCACUCCCAUUGGGGUCCGACAGUACCCCAUGAGCAAGGAAGCUCAGGAGGGUAUACGCCUCCAUAUCACCAGACUGCUCCAACAAGGGAUCCUAGUCCCCUGCAAGUCUCCUUGGAAUACCCCACUACUCCCAGUAAAGAAACCAGGGAUGAACGACUACCGUCCUGUACAGAACCUCAGAGAGGUAAACAAAAAAGUUCAGGAUAUCCACCCCACAGAGCCCAAUCCUUACAACCUGCUCAGCACGCUGCCACCCGAACGAACCUGGUAUACGGUCUUAGAUCUCAAAGACGCUUUCUUUUGCCUGAGACUACACCCUAACAGCCAGCCCUUGUUUGCUUUUGAAUGGUGAGACCCAGAGAAUGGAAGGACCAGGCAGCUCACAUGGACGAGACUGCCACAGGGGUUCAAGAAUUCCCCCACCUUGUUUGAUGAAGCUCUACAUAGAGAUCUCGCCUCUUUCCAGGCCAACAAUCCCCAGGUGACUCUUUUGCAAUAUGUAGAUGACCUUCUGGUGGCUGCAGAAAUACGCAAAGAGUGUGAACUUGGGACUCAGAGAAUCCUGGCUGAGUUAGGGGAGUUGGGGUACCGAGCUUCAGCUAAAAAGGAACAGUUAUGCUGGACUGAGGUGACUUACCUGGGAUACACCCUGAAGAAUGGACAAUGAUGGCUCACUGAAGCUAGGAAGCAGACAUUGACACAGAUCCCAACCCCAACCACCCCUUGCCAGGUAAGAGAAUUCCUGGGGACUGCGGGAUUCUGUAGACUCUGGAUCCUAGGGUUUGCUAUUUUCAGCCCCAUUAUACCCCCUAACAAAAGAGAAGGGAGAGUUCAUUUGGACUAAGGAACAUCAAUUGGCUUUUGAGACUCAAAAACGCACUGCUACAGGCCCCUGCUUUAGCGCUGCCAGAUUUAAACAAGCCUUUCACCCUAUUCAUCGAUGAGAAAAAUGGAGUAGCCAGAGGGGUCCUCACUCAAACCCUAGGACCCUGGAAGCGUCCGGUAGCCUAUCUGUCAAAGAAACUGGACUCUGUGGCUAUUUGUGGGCAAUAGCAGCCAUAGCUGUGUUGGUGAAAGAUGCUGAUAAACUGAUUAUGGGCCAAAACAUGACAGUGGUGGCCCCACAUGCCCUCAAGAGUAUUAUUCGACAGCUACCAGACCGCUGGAUUACCAACGCCCGUAUGACUCACUACCAGAGCCUGUUGUUGACUGAACGGGUAACCUUUGCUCCACUCGCCAUUCUCAACCCCACUACCUUACUGCCUGAAGCUAACGAAACCCUGGUACACCAAUGUGAAUAGAUACUGGCAGAAGAAACUGGGACUCAGCCAGACUUAACUUACCAACCAUGGCCUGGGGCGCUGACCUGGUUCACCGAUGGAAGCAGCUUCAUGGUAGAAGAUACCUUUUCAGGGUGAACUGAAGCAUUCCCCACCAAGAGGGAAAUGGCUAAUGUGGUGGCCAAGAAGAUACUCGAAGAAAUCUUUUCCUGUUUUGGGGUACCAAAGGUACUUGGGUCAGACAACCGGCCUGCCUUUGUCUCCCAGCCUGGCUGAAGGCCCUCGAAACCGUGAGAAAAGAAAUCUGGGAGCAGUUGAAAGAGACCUACAUUGCCAGCGACUUGCAGGUGUCACAUCAGUUUGAAGUGGGAGACACUGUCCUGUUGAGAAGGCAUCAAGCAGGGAACCUCCAGCCAUGGUGGAAGGGAUCCUACCUGGUGCUAUUGACUACACCCACCGCCGUUAAGGUAGAAGGAAUCCACACUUGGGUUCAUGCUUCACACAUUAAGAAGGCUCCCCCUGAAACUGAUCAAAAUGAGUGGACCCUGAAAAAGACUAAUAAUCCUCUUAAAUUGCGCCUACGUCGCAGCUCAGAACCAAGACCCCAACCCUCAUACCCCAAUUCAGCAAACUUGGGAAGUACUCAAUGAGGAGGGAGACAUUAUAUGGUCGAUCGCCGCAAUACAACCCCCAUGGACUUGGUGGCCCGACCUCACACCUGAUAUUUGCAAGUUGGCAGCAGGGUCACUUCCCUGGGACCUCCCUGACUAUACUGACCUUCAUCAACCACCACCUGAAAAACAGUGCAUCCCGAUCAGGGUAGGAAGCACAUUUGGAUGGUCAGGGCAAUUCUACUCAGCCAAUCUCCGGUCUGUAGGAUUUUAUGUUUGCCCUGGCCAAGGUCAACUGCGAAAGCUUCGGCAUUAGUGUGGAGGGACACCAGACUUUUACUGUGCUGCAUGGGGUUGUAAGACCACAGGUGAAGCUUAUUGGAAUCCUACCUCCACCUGGGACUUGAUCACAGUAAAAAGGGGCAGAAGCUAUGACCCGCCAAACCAAGGUGAGAGAGAGAGUUCUAAAUACCUUGAGAACGGGUGUGCCUGGAUAUUCUCUCCUAAUGGACCUUGCAAAGGUGACUAUUGCAACCCCAUACUUAUAAAAUUUACUGACCAGGGGAAACGAGGGCGCCAGAGCUGGCUUAAGGGAAACAAUUGGGGUUUACAAGUGCACGCAGCAGCAGGAAAAGACCCUAGAUUAAUCCUUAAAAUCAAAUUAACCGUGGAGAGUCCAUCCUCAGUGCCCAUAGGACCUAAAAAGGUCCUUCCAGAACAGGGCCUCCCUGCCAAACCCAAACCCCUGGCUCCGAUAAUUGAGGAGCCCCCCCAAGGUCGUCAUCCCCCCCAGAUUCCCUGACCACAAUCCCCCCAGAUCCCUCGAUGGGACAGAGACUGUUCAAUCUGAUUAGGGGAGCCUUUUAUGCCCUUAACAGCUCAGAUCUGGACACUACUACUAACUGCUGGUUAUGCCUAUCCUCAGGCCCUCCCUACUAUGAAGGGGUUGCUUUUAAUGGAGAUUUUAAUAAAACCAGUAGUCAUGCCUCCUGCUCAUGGGGAACAGGAAAGAAAUUAACCCUGACUGAAGUGUCAGGGAGGAGCCCUGGUCUCUGCAUAGGGACACCUCUUCCUUCCCACCAACACAUAUGUGGUUGGACUCAUUCUGUAUCCAGGACAAAUACCAGCUAUUACCUUGUGCCAUAUCCAGUCGGUUGGUGGGCCUGUAACACCGGGCUCACCCCAUGUGUAUCAACUAGUGUCUUUGACCCCUCUCGUGAUUUCUGUGUUAUGGUUCAGCUUCUACCUCGCAUGUAUUAUUAUCCUGCUUCCCGCCUGGAAGAUGUAUAUAUCAGUAAGAGGUUGAAAAGAGAUCCAGGCUCCAUUACCCUAGCUAUGUUGAUGGGGGUCGGUCUUACAGCAGGAGUAGGAAUGGGUGUAGCAGCCUUGAUUGAGGGUAGACAAGGAAUUCAGUCCUUAAGAGAAGCUAUAAAUGAAGAUUUAAACAUGCUAGAAAAAUCUAUUGAUGCAUUAGAGAAAUCCUUGAUCUCCCUGUCAUAAGUAGUAUUACAAAACAGAAGAGGUUUAGAUUUAUUGUUUUUAAGGGAAGGUGGACUAUGUGAAGUCCAUAUGGGAGUAGUCAGAGAUUCUAUGCAGAAAUUAAGGGAAAGACUGGAAAGAAGAAAGCAAGAUCGAGAAGUUCAACAGGGAUGGUUUGAGUCAUGGUACUCUAAAUCUCCCUGGAUGACCACUUUACUUUCUGCUUUAGCCGGACCAAUUCUUACUAUAUGUUUGGUUUUGAUCUUCGGCCCCUGCUUAAUAAAUAAGGGAAUUGCUUUUGUUAAGAGUAGAGUGAAUGCAGUGUAGCUUAUGGUGCUCCAAAAUCAAUAUCAACCUAUAGUGAAGAUAGAGAAGAAUAUGAUUCCUACCCACCACAUGAGGAUACAGACCUUUAAAAUUCUAAGAUUAGAAUUAUUUAGUAGAAGAAGAGGGGAAUGAAAGAAAGAAAACUAAAUUCAAGGCCCUAGUCAGAAGAUUUAUUCAAGGCCUAGCCAGAAGAUUUUCAGACUUAAAGCCAUAAAGAUAAGAAAGAUAAAGAAAGGCACGCAAGGACAAUCUCCAGACAAGCUCAGAUGAGUAAUGGACCACCUGGCCUGGUCUCCUUCUGAUAAAGUUUGAGUUUGACCAGAUGCUCUGCCAACAAAGAUAAACACCCUCCCUUUAGAGUUACUGUCACAUACUGCUUGCUGAUGUUUAAACUGCCCAAUUGUGUGUAACUUCGCCAAUUUCCCCUAUUCCCUCCCACACACUCCUUUCCUAUAUAAACCCCUAACUUUUGAGCCUUAGGGUUGACUCCUCUGUCUCCCGUGUGAGAUACGUGUAGGCCCGGAGCUCCAUCAUUAAACUGCCUGUGUGUUUGCAUCAA